rnacentral:lncRNA from 1 species
UAGUGUUUUAUUAUAGUUGAUAUUGAAACUCAGAUGAUAUGUUGUUCAUCUUUUUUUCCUUCACAGCCACUGUCACUGAGAUUGACUCGUCUGAGAAUGACAAGACCUCAGAAGGGCUUAGUGCUGAGACGUUUCCUAAACUGGCUUAUACAGAACAAGCUGAAGCUGCAGCCCAAGAUGAGGUUGAAGGACUCGUCACCGAUGGUGAUGAGAUGGCCACAGAGCCAGAAAAUAGAGAUUGUUUGCCUGUGACUCUGGCAACAGACCCUAGGCUUUCUGCCAAAGACAUGAUUACUCCAAACUUACAAACUAUGGAUGCUGGUGAAACUGACAACUCCUCAAACCUGAAUGGAAAAUCUAGUACAUGGACUUGCAAGGAGAUCAUUGAGCUUGGAAUUCAUGCCAAAUCCAUCAAAUUUAAUUCCAGUAACACUCCUUCCGAAAGCUGUACUCAGAACUCAAGUGAUGCUGCUACGUUUGUUCCAGGUCCCAAGUUAGACUUUGAGGAAGACGCAGUGAUGAAUUCCAUGGCUUCAUCCGAAGGGAGCAAUUCAGAUUUCUAAACACUCCGAUCCUGGAAGUCACUGGAUUCCAUCUAAAGAUCUUUCUUCAGGACGCUGCUUCUUGCCUUUACGCCAGUUCAACCAUGUUAAAAUCAAACUCCCAAGAGAGGGGAUGCUUCUCCACCUGCACCUUGAGGACUUUCAGGGAGUUAUCUAGGUCCUUCUUUGUUACAAUGUGACGGGAUUUCCUGGCAAAGUGUUACUUCUGUUUCCUUUAAUAAUUUCAUUUAAGCUGUCUCUUGCUUGUUGCUUGUUUUAUUUUUCCUUUGACGUAUGCAAAGUGGUGAGGAAGCAUCCAAACUGACUUACAAACCGACUGGUAAACAUUUUAUUUUAGAAGGAAAGAAUUUGCUUCCAGCCUAUUUAAAACCCCUAAAUAACAUUCAUCCCUUUACUGUUAGACUCUCAAAGAUUCAGUAUUAGGAAAGAGCUUACUAGAUCUCUCAGAUGACCCAAGACUGCUCUCAGGAGCAUUGUCACGUUGUGUUUAAUGCAGACAUUUUGGUGGUUUCAUAGUUCUGCAUAUUGUAUUUUACCAUAAUUUAUAUACCUUUACUUUCAGGAAAAUAGUUUAAAUUGCAGUCUGUACACACACACACACACUCACUCACUCACUUACACACUCACACAUUCACACACUCUCUACUACAUUCUGAAAUAUGAGGCCUGGGGAAAUUUUUGUCCUAGUGUGGUUACAGUUUGUCAUGGUUUUUUAACUUUUUCCUUUCAGAUUGCAUAUUUAUGUCUUUACGGACAUGUAAGUGUUAUUUUCACAUAUGUAAAACAGUAUCAUGGCCAUUGCCUUGUGGCAUUGGCUUGCUGAUUCACAAUGGUCUUAGAGUAUCUUUUUUUUUCUUAUGUAUGUGCUAUAUUCGCUUACCUAUUAAAGGCUGCAGUAAGUGCUAUUUAACCAAAAUUUUCCUGCCUUUUUAUGGCAGGAAGGGAUGAAUCGCGUCCUUUGAAAUAGCUGCGAAGAAAUUCAUCAAUAGUCUUAAGCCCAUGUAAUACAUACACACAUGCAUAUAUUCACCACGACCAUCACCACCACCACCACACACACACACACACACACACACACACACACACACAUACACAUAAUGGAUAAGUGGUUUAUGAAAAUUGCUUCAUCAAAUCCUACUUAAACCAUUGCCUGAUACUUGAGUAUGAAUUAAUCAGCCUGCUAAUUAAUUUUUUAUUGUUGAAUCACCAGUUUUUUGAGGCAGAACUGUGUUCCUCUCUCAAACCCAUUCUGGAAUGAGGAGGAGGACUCUUAUCCUUCCUAGACCUUUGCCAUUCAGAGUUCAGAGGAAUUGUUGGAGGUGAGAACAGUGCCUUAGAUCAGACAGUUAUACUUUUGUAUGCUAGCUCUUUCAUUCUGGCAGAGACAAUCAUUGGAAGAAAAAAGAUGCAGGUUUUCUUUCUGCACAUAGGUUAUUUGUUGAAAAGCUGUGACAGCUGUAUGUAUAUAUGUUCACUCUAUUUUACAGAUGGACAUUCGUUAUUUUAACAGUUAACAUAGUUAUUCUGCAAGAAUAGUACCACUUCUUAACAAAGUUACAACCAAAUACGUCAGCAAGAUUCAAUAAAUUAGACUCAAAUUUCCUGGGUCUAUAAUUG